AGUGAACGCUGGCGGUAGGCCUAACACAUGCAAGUCGAACGGCGGCACAGUAAGAGCUUGCUCUUACGGGUGGCGAGUGGCGGACGGGUGAGGAAUACAUCGGAAUCUCCUUUUUCGUGGGGGAUAACGUAGGGAAACUUACGCUAAUACCGCAUACGACCUACGGGUGAAAGCAGGGGAUCUUCGGACCUUGCGCGAUUGAAUGAGCCGAUGUCGGAUUAGCUAGUUGGCGGGGUAAAGGCCCACCAAGGCGACGAUCCGUAGCUGGUCUGAGAGGAUGAUCAGCCACACUGGAACUGAGACACGGUCCAGACUCCUACGGGAGGCAGCAGUGGGGAAUAUUGGACAAUGGGCGCAAGCCUGAUCCAGCCAUACCGCGUGGGUGAAGAAGGCCUUCGGGUUGUAAAGCCCUUUUGUUGGGAAAGAAAAGCAGCAGGUUAAUACCCCGCUGUUCUGACGGUACCCAAAGAAUAAGCACCGGCUAACUUCGUG
rnacentral:rRNA from 1 species